rnacentral:lncRNA from 1 species
UCGAGACCGAUAGUUCACCUUAACCUACUUGUAAGGGCGGGCGUCGGCCAGCUUCCGGUGAAUUAUCGGAUGGAAGGUCGACGGGUCUACACCCGAAUCGUUCCAGUAUUUAAGCCGGGCCGCCGGUAGAUCACCCAUCACUGGUCUCUUAUCGCCGAUCUUCCCGCUUUCAACAUGAACACUCUGUUGUCCGUUUUGGACUUGGCCACCUUGUGCGCCGACGGCAUGGCCGGAUACCUGGGAGGCUACGGCUUGGGAUUGGCCGGUAGAGACGCCGCCGUCACAGUCAGCUUGGACAACCAGCGAGCCGCUCCCUACGGAGGAUUAGGAGCUUUCGGCGCCUACGGAGCCUACGGACUGGGAUACGGAGGCUACGGACUGGGAUACGGAGGCUACGGAUU